AAGACAGAAGCCCAGGAAGGGGGCCAUCUGGCUUGAGGAGGACCCAGCCUCUUGGCUCCUCAUCCAGCCCCCACCCACAGUCCUAGAAAUGUCUGGAACCUUCUAGGACAGCCAGAUCUUGACCUACCGGUACGGGAUCCCGACCUCCCUCCGGAAAACAGGCCAGCAGUGGGACUUCGCCAAUGCCUGGGCCCCCCUGCAGGACCUGGUCAUCAGAGGUCUGGCCAAGUCUCCUUCACCCCGGGCCCAGGAAGUGGCUUUCCAGCUGGCUCAGAAUUGGAUCCGAACCAACUUUGAGGUCUACUCCCGAAAGUCAGCCAUGUUGGAGGAGGAGGGCUUUGGCUGGACCAGUGGAGUGGUCCUGAUGCUCCUGGACCGCUAGGGUGACCGGCUGAGCUCGGGGACCCAGACAGCUUUCCUGGAGCACCCCCUCCGCCUCACGGCUGCCCUUCUACUCAGCCUCCCGCUCAGCCUCCUGCCUCCUGCCACAGUGAUGGGGCUCCCUGCCCCGU